rnacentral:rRNA from 1 species
UACGAGGGGUGCAAGCGUUGCUCGGAAUUAUUGGGCGUAAAGGGUAGGUAGGUGGUCUCAUUUGUCAGGGGUGAAAGCCUUGGGCUUAACUCAAGAAGUGCCCCUGAAACGGUGAGACUCGAGUACUGGAGAGGGUCGUGGAAUUCCCGGUGUAGCGGUGAAAUGCGUAGAGAUCGGGAGGAACACCAGAGGCGAAGGCGGCGACCUGGACAGUGACUGACACUCAACUACGAAAGCGUGGGGAGCAAACAGG